rnacentral:rRNA from 1 species
GCUUUUCAACUUGAGAGUUUGAUCCUGGCUCAGAACGAACGCUGGCGGCAGGCCUAAUACAUGCAAGUCGAGCGCAUCCUUCGGGAUGAGCGGCGGACGGGUUAGUAACGCGUGGGAACGUGCCCUUCUCUAAG